ACGGGAGGCAGCAGUGGGGAAUAUUGCACAAUGGGGGAAACCCUGAUGCAGCGACGCCGCGUGAGUGAAGAAGUAUUUCGGUAUGUAAAGCUCUAUCAGCAGGGAAGAUAAUGACGGUACCUGACUAAGAAGCCCCGGCUAACUACGUGCCAGCAGCCGCGGUAAUACGUAGGGGGCAAGCGUUAUCCGGAUUUACUGGGUGUAAAGGGAGCGUAGACGGAAGGCCAAGUCUGAUGUGAAAACCCAGGGCUCAACCCUGGGACUGCAUUGGAAACUGGUCAUCUAGAGUGCAGGAGGGGUAAGCGGAAUUCCUAGUGUAGCGGUGAAAUGCGUAGAUAUUAGGAGGAACACCAGUGGCGAAGGCGGCUUACUGGACUGUAACUGACGUUGAGGCUCGAAAGCGUGGGGAGCAAACAGGAUUAGAUACCCUGGUA
rnacentral:rRNA from 1 species